rnacentral:rRNA from 1 species
CUUAUUUAGAGUUUGAUCCUAGCUCAGGGUGAACGCUGGCGACGUGGAUAAGGCAUGCAAGUCGAACGCAUUUAGUUGCGUGGCAGACGAGGUAGUAAUGCAUAAGUACGUACCCCAAAGUCGAGCAUAACCCAUCGAAAGGUGGAAUAAUUCUCGAUAGUCCCAGCACUUAAUUUUGGUUAUAAUGUAAUGAUGUUUUAUGUGUAUUUAAUCCAGAGUAAGACAACUAACGAAUUAUAUGUUGGUUAUACUUUUGAUAUUACACAACGAAUACUCUCACAUAACACUGCAAGUAAUAUAUCUACGAAACAUGGAGUUCCAUGGGAGCUCAUUUACGUAGAAGGUUAUCGAAGUGAGCGUGAUGCGAGAGUUCGAGAACAAAAACUAAAACAUCAUGGAAAUAGUAAAAGAUUUGUGAAAGAAAGAAUAAAGAACAGUCUUUUGUAACUAAAAUUAAGUGCUGGGUAAAGAUUUAUCGCUUUGGGAACGGCUUGUGUGGCAUCAGCUUGUUGGUAGUGUAACGGACUACCAAGGCUAUGACGCCUAGGGGAGGUGAGAGCCUGACCCCCACCGAUGGAACUGAGAACGGUCCAUACUCCUACGGGAGGCCGCAGUCGAGAAUCUUCCGCAAUGGGCGAAAGCCUGACGGAGCGACGUCGCGUGGUUGAUGAAGUCCUUCGGGAUGUAAAGACCUUUUAUGAAGGAGAAAGUGCGCUUUUGGCGUAUUGAUGUUACUUCAUGAAUAAGGGGCUGCUAACUCUGUGCCAGCAGCAGCGGUAAUACAGAGGCCCCAAGCGUUACCCGGAAUCACUGGGCGUAAAGUGUGUGUAGGCGGUUGUGUUAGUCUUCUGUUAAAUUUCCGCGCUUAACGUGGAGUCCGCAGGGGAAACGGCACAACUAGAGGGUGUGAGAGGUUUGUGGAACUCAUAGUGUAGGGGUGAAAUCCGUUGAUAUUAUGGGGAACACCAAAAGCGAAGGCAACAAACUGGCACACUCCUGACGCUGAGACACGAAAGCGUGGGUAGCGAACGGGAUUAGAUACCCCGGUAGUCCACGCCCUAAACGAUGUCCGUUAGCUCUUUGGAGUAUCGACCCUCUGAGGGGCAAAGCUAACGCGUUAAACGGACCGCCUGGGUAGUACGGCCGCAAGGCUAAAACUCAAAGGAAUAGACGGGGGCUCGCACAAGCGGUGGAUCAUGUGGCUUAAUUCGUCGAUAAACGAAGAACCUUACCAGGAUUUGAAAUCAAACUGAAAGUUCCGUGAAAGCGGAACCCUCUUCGGACAGUUUGGCAGGUGUUGCAUGGCCGUCGUCAGUUCGUGAUUUGAAUUGUUCCCUUAAGUGGGGAAACGAACGCAACCCUUAUUGCCUGUUACAAGUGUCAGGCGAGACUGCUCCCUCACGGGAGAGGAAGGUGGGGAUGACGCCAGGUCAGUAUGACCCUUUGAUAUCCUGGGCUGCACACGUGAUACAAUGGUUACUACAACAGGACGCAAUACCGUAAGGUGGAGCAAAUCCUUAUAAAAGUAGCCCAAGUUCGGAUUGAGGUCUGCAAUUUGACCUCAUGAAGUUGGAAUCGCUAGUAAUCGCAGGUCAGCUAUACUGCGGUGAAUACGUUCUCGAGCCUUGUACUCACCGCCCGUCAAGUCAAGGAAGUCGGGAGUGCUCAAAGUUCCAUUUCGGUGGACCUACAGUAAACUCGAUAACAGGGGCUAAGUCGUAACAAGGCACGGCUAGCGGAAGCUGGUCGUGGAUUAUUUCCAAC